rnacentral:lncRNA from 1 species
UUGAAAUCCAGAUCUGAAAGACGAAGGUCUGACAAGAACAAAGCCUUUCAGGCCGAAACAGAAGAUGCUGAUGACUUUGAAUAAGAACAUUCUGAUGAUGAAGAAGAAUUAUCCCUCCUGACCAGAAGAGUAAAACAACUCUGGAAAAAGAGGAAUAAUAACUUCCGGAGACCAAGACCCAGAGGGGAUCGAUCAGAAUCAGCAUCAAAAGGUAAAACUAACAAAGAUAUUACCUGUUAUGAAU